rnacentral:lncRNA from 1 species
UGGAUGUUGUAGAUACAAGGCCACAUUCUGCUUUGGCAUCGCUGCUGAUGUGCUCCCUCCCACUUUCCCAGGCUAAUAAAUGAACAGGCAAACAAACCUAUACAAGCCAUGGUUACUUUCAAGGAAAUCUACUUUAGCCUGAAUGGAGUACUGUGUAGCCUGACCCUACAGAAACCAAAUUAACAUCUGGAUCUGAAGUUCAUGGCUGUCUCUUCAGAAAUACAAUACAUGAAACUGGGAUUCCAUAUCUGAGAGUGGUUGGCAGCUUGAGCGAUG